CGCAGAUAUUUUCUGGUAAAGCAAUGCACUCCUGAUUCCUGGGUUCCCACUGACAGUUCUGAUCCAUGGCGCAGCUUUUACAGCUUGUCCUUUUGUUACAGUGAUAGGCAGGGUUAUCCUUAGGACAAUUCUCAUAAGCAGUAAUGGGAACCUGCUCCUCCGUGCAGUUGUUAUGCAUUGAUAUACACUGGUCGGUGCACCACUGACAGUUGUUUGUGUUUGCUGUACAGCUAUAGCAGUCUGUAAUCUGAUCACAUUUUUCAUUGUCUACAACUGGCUUGGCAGGGCAGUCCUCAAGGACCUUUUGCUGCUGCUGCAAUGUGGCCAUUUCCCAGGGCACACAGCCGGGUCGGGCAGGAUCCCAGACACAGCGCACACCGGGCCCUGCAUGCAUGCAGGCGGUCUCGUUAGCAAAGGCCUCACAUCUCUCUGGUGUGUACUUCAGGAUGUCGCUCAGCAGGAGGCUGUUGAAGCCUCC
rnacentral:lncRNA from 1 species